GACUGAACUCAUUACUGGAAGAAGAUUGACGUUAUAGUUUAUUCUAAGAAUUUUAUGGGGUUUGUGAAUUAGCAUUGUUAAAAUGGGUGUAAAUGUGUGUUUUUGAGAUCAAGAAACAUUUUAUGCACAACUAGACACAGACUCGAUCAUCACACAGCAUCACUAUGUUCAGUGCAAUUGGAACCCGGACAUCCUUUCUACGACCGAGAGAUGGUAUUUUACCCUACUCGCUGGCUGACAGACGCCCCAGUUCAUCAUCUUCUAUACAUGUUCAACGCAAGGCAUUGGAUGAUGAAAAAAGUGUAUGUAACAGUGAAUAUUCUGAAGAUAAUUUCCAGACCUAUAACUAUGGUUCCAUAUUUGUUCAAUUACAAGAGGCGAAUGAAGAGUCGGAGGAUAUUUGUGAAUUUUUGGACAGAUCCUUGGCGGUUUUAUGGAGCUCUGUGGGGAUGACUUGUAUUCUAUUAAUACUAAUCUGUCUUCCAAUAUCAAUGGUUGCCGUUGGGAGUUCGUUCCGAGAUGAAUGUCCAAAAGAACCCAAAUUGCCUUUAUAUCUGCUCAUAGGUGGCGUGUGUGGUUUUCUUCAGAUUCUUAUAUUACUUUGGCGACAAAAGCAGUCACGUGAGAUAGAAGGUUUGGAAGCGAACGGCGACGACGACUUUGAUGACGCCGUUAUGGCACGCAGUGUGCGAUUUACCUGUUACGUCAUGAGUUUCGGUCUUUCCACAUGGUUUGUGAUUGGAAAUUUGUGGUUUUUCUCUAUUUGGAUGCCUAAUUUUAAACAACCUCUCCACGACCCGACAAACUGGUGCAACGAAACAAUCUAUAUGUUCGCUUUCUAUCAGAUAAUGUUCUGUUAUUGUCUAAUGAUUGCUUUCUUAGUAUGUUUUAUAGUGAUUUGUCUUAUGUACGUGAUACGUUCAUGUCGAGGGUAAUGGUGUUGAUUGUGUAAAGGUUACAAUGGCGACAGAAAAAAAAAUUCCAUGUACAUGUUUUGUGUGUGAAACGUUUAUUCUGUACUUCACCGUGUCGUACCAGAUCAGGCAUAAAUAUAGCCUAGAUAAAUCAAUCUAAUCUUUGUGGCGGUGCUCCAUUGAGCUACGCCGCAGGGCUACAGCCCAACAGCUAGUAUUAUACGUGUUUUUAACCUUCAGCAUGAUGGGCUCAAAAAUAUUUACGCUUUAUAGGUCCUCUUUUGAUAAAGGUGUCUAGUCCAUGACAUUUACACAAAGUACACGAUGAGUUUAUGUGAAACUAGAAAUCACAAUUCUAAAUGUUAACAGCAAUUUUGAAGGAUCAAGUGUUGAGACUAACAUCUACUUGUUUUGGUUGCUGGUGGUCGGUGUUCAAUGAUAAAUAACAUUAUAAUUAUUAAAUACAAGGCUGGAUCCUGUUUGUAUAUUCUGUGAUUCUUUUCUAUUGCUAAAUGUCAAAUGUGGGAAUUAUUGUUAUUACUGUGAUAAUGUUGUACAUAAACAUAUAUAUUUUAUGUACGAUCAAUGUCUAAUAUAUAUUAUUAAUAAACGUAAA